UAUAAAGCCUUUACUGUCACUUCUGAUGAAUAAAUGUAUCAGUUUCUUUCACUCAUUAUAAAUGCCUUUACUGUCACUUCUGAUGAAUAAAUGUAUCAGUUUCUUUCACAAUCGUAGUACGGUAAUAUAUCUCUGACCGAAACGCAUUUCAGAUCUGUUUCAGCGCGAGACGCAGACGCAGCGGCCCUCACGUGCACCUGAGCGAUCAUCAGUUAUAGUCUCUCUGCUAACAGUGAGCUGAAGCAACAACAAAUGAUCUUGAGUCUCAAAGGUGUUUGAGGCCUUUCUGAGCCACUCAGCGUUUAGUGGAGGGACACAAGCUGAGCGCUUUAUAAACCAGACCUCGUCCCAGAACACAAGACUGCGCCGCUGUGAUCUUUGGCAAGCAGCCGGUUUGGAGCAGAGGUACAGCUCUAUGGCUUUCUGGAGAUAUAUUGUAUUCACAGAUUAAACCCCAACACGCUCUG
ensembl:lncRNA